UACGUAGGGGGCAAGCGUUGUCCGGAUUUAUUGGGCGUAAAGAGCGUGUAGGCGGCCAGGUAGGUCAGCUGUGAAAACUCGAGGCUCAACCUCGAGACGUCGGUUGAAACCACCUGGCUAGAGUCCGGAAGAGGAGAGUGGAAUUCCUGGUAUAGCGGUGAAAUGCGCAGAUAUCAGGAAGAACACCCGUGGCGAAGGCGGCUCUCUGGGACGGUACUGACGCUGAGGAGCGAAAGCGUGGGGAGCGAACAGG
rnacentral:rRNA from 1 species